AGAAUCAACGCUGGCGGCGUGCCUAACACAUGCAAGUCGAACGAGAAAGUGGAGCAAUCCACGAGUAAAGUGGCGCACGGGUGAGUAACACGUGAAUAAUCUACCUCCGAGUGGGGAAUAACUGAGAGAAAUCUUAGCUAAUACCGCAUAAUACCCACGGGUCAAAGCAGCAAUGCGCUUGGAGAGGAGUUCGCGGCCGAUUAGCUAGUUGGCGGGGUAAUGGCCCACCAAGGCGAUGAUCGGUAUCCGGCCUGAGAGGGCGCACGGACACACUGGAACUGAAACACGGUCCAGACUCCUACGGGAGGCAGCAGUGGGGAAUUUUGCGCAAUGGGGGAAACCCUGACGCAGCAACGCCGCGUGGAGGAUGAAAUCCCUUGGGAUGUAAACUCCUUUCGAUAGGGAAGAUAAUGACGGUACCUAUAGAAGAAGCCCCGGCUAACUUCGCGCCAGCAGCCGC
rnacentral:rRNA from 1 species